rnacentral:rRNA from 1 species
GAUGAACGCUAGCAGAGCGCCUAACACAUGCAAGUCGAACGAGAACUUUAUGCUUGCAUAAAGUAAAAGUGGCAAACGGGCGAGUAACGCGUACUUAAUCUGCCCUGAAGACGAAAACAACUACGGAGACGUAGCUAAUUUUCGAUAAUCUCUUGUGACUGAAAUGUCUAUAGAGCAAAUGAUUUAUCGCUUUAGGAGGAGGGUGCGUCCUAUCAGUUUGUUGGUGAGGUAACGGCUCACCAAGACUAUGACGGGUAGCCGGUCUGAGAGGAUGUCCGGCCGCAAUGGGACUGAGACACGGCCCAUACCCCUACGGGGGGCAGCAGUGGGGAAUAUUGGACAAUGGACGAAAGUCUGAUCCAGCGACUCUGCGUGGAGGAUGAAGCCUUACGGGGUGUAAACUUCUUUUCUGGGGGAAGACGAAUGACGGUACCUCAGGAAUAAGGGACGGCUAACUACG